rnacentral:rRNA from 1 species
UGACAGGUGGUGCAUGGUUGUCGUCAGCUCGUGUCGUGAGAUGUUGGGUUAAGUCCCGCAACGAGCGCAACCCUUAUUGUUAGUUGCCAUCAUUCAGUUGGGCACUCUAGCAAGACUGCCGGUGACAAACCGGAGGAAGGUGGGGAUGACGUCAAAUCAUCAUGCCCCUUAUGACCUGGGCUACACACGUGCUACAAUGGGAAGUACAACGAGUNGCGAAGUCGCGA